GAUGAAGAACGUAGCGAAAUGCGAUAAGUAAUGUGAAUUGCAGAAUUCAGUGAAUCAUCGAAUCUUUGAACGCACAUUGCGCCCAUUAGCAUUCUAGUGGGCAUGCCUGUUCGAGCGUCAUUUCAACCCUUAAGCCCUGUUGCUUAGCGUUGGGAGCCUACAGUACUGUAGCUCCCCAAAGUUAGUGGCGGAGUCGGUUUCACACUCUAGACGUAGUAAUUUUUUCUCGUCUGUAGUUGAGCCGGUCCCCUGCCGUAAAACACCCAAUUUAUCAAGGUUGACCUCGGAUCAGGUAGGAAUACCCGCUGAACUUAAGCAUAUCAAUAAGCGGAGGC
rnacentral:misc_RNA from 1 species